rnacentral:lncRNA from 1 species
UCGCGGCUGCUGUGGGAAGGUUACUCUGAGCAUCAGUUGCCCGGCAUGUGAGUGCCAUUCCUUGGGGGCAUUUCUGCCACUGCAGCCCUCAGGCCUGCUGCUUCUGGAAGAACAAGUUUGACAAACAUAUUGUGGUCUGGUUCCGGUCAAGCAAAAUUCUGGUACCAGUUCCUCAUACCAUGCACCUGAUGUCACCCAGCAUGCGCCCUAUUUUAAGGGUACAGCCGUGGUCAAUGGAGAGUUCAAAGACCUAAGCCUUGAUGACUUUGAGGGGAAAUAUUUGGUGCUUUUCUUCUAUCCUUUGGAUUUCUUUCUUUAUCCUUUGGAUUUCACCUUUGUGUGUCCUACAGAAAUUGUUGCUUCUAGUGACAAAGCUAAGGAAUUUCACGAUGUGAACUUUGAAGUUGUUGCAGUCUCAGUGGAUUCCCACUUUAGCCGUCUUGCCUGGAUAAAUACACCAAGAAAGAAUGGUGCUUUGGGCCACAUAAACAUCGCACCCUUGUCAGAUUUAACUAAGCGAAUUUCUCGAGACUUCGGUGUGCUGUUAGAAGGUCCUGGUCUUGCACUAAGAGGUCUCUUCAUAAUUGACCCCAAUGGAGUCAUCAAGUACU